rnacentral:tRNA from 1 species
GGAGACGUGCCAGAGCGGCCGAAUGGGGCUCCCUGCUAAGGAGUUGACCUUGUGAUGAGGUCCGGAGGUUCAAAUCCUCUCGUCUCCG